UCAAUAUUAUCGUCGAGGCAAAUAAGUUCAUGAUCCUAAACAAAAUAACAACUUUUUGUCUUUGCAUUGUUUCUGGCUCUACAACAUGCAAAAAUGGGUAGUUGUAGUAACCAUAUUUUGUUCGAGUCAAAUCUGAAUCAAGUUUGAAUUGACUUUGAAUUUUAUUAUUGUUAGUUUACUAUUAUGUCAUGUUUCUUGUUAUUUAUACAAUUAUAAUUUUUAAUUUUUAAUAUAAUAAAAAGAAAAAUGUAGAAUUAUAAAUAUAAAGAUAUAUGUGUGGUAGAAACCCAACUUUUUAUGUUAAAAGAUAAAUAUUGCAUAUAUCUAUGUGUGGCUAAACUUAUAUAUAUGUAUAUUAAGUAUAUUAUGUAUGUAGGGGGAAAUCAUUGAUUUUAAAAGUUUGAAAGUUAACUUCCA
rnacentral:lncRNA from 1 species